AGCUUUGGCUCCUAAGUAAAGUGGCGAACGGGUGCGUAACACGUAGGUAAUCUACCCUGGACUCUGGGAUAACUUUUCGAAAGAGAAGCUAAGACUGGAUAGGGUCCUCGAGAUGGAAGUUGUGAGGGGAAAACAGGCCUCUGCUGUAUGCUUGUGGUCCAGGAUGAGCUUGCGGCUCAUUAGCUAGUUGGUAGGGUAAUGGCCUACCAAGGCAACGAUGGGUAGCUGGUCUGAGAGGAUGAUCAGCCACACUGGCACUGAGAGACGGGCCAGACUCCUACGGGAGGCAGCAGUGGGGAAUUUUGCGCAAUGGGCGAAAGCCUGACGCAGUAACGCCGCGUGGAGGACGAAGGCCUUCGGGUUGUAAACUCCUGUCAGGGGGAACGACGGGUGCGAGACAAAUAGGAUUGCACUCCAGACGGUACCCUCAAAGGAAGCCCCGGCUAAUUCCGUGCCAGCAGCCGCGGUAAUACGGAAGGGGCAAGCGUUGUUCGGAAUUAUUGGGCGUAAAGGGCGCGUAGGCGGUCUCGCAUGUCUGCUGUGAAAGCACACGGCUCAACCGUGGAGGGUCAGUGGAAACUGUGAGACUUGAGGCUGGGAGGGGCCGGUGGAAUUCCCCGUGUAGCGGUGAAAUGCGUAGAGACGGGGGAGAACACUCGUGGCGAAGGCGGCCGGCUAGACCAGUCCUGACGCUGAGGCGCGAUAGCGUGGGGAGCAAACAGGAUUAGAUACCCUGGUAGUCCACGCCGUAAACGAUGGGCACUAGGUGUUGGCGGUAUUCACUCCGUCAGUGCCGGCGCUAACGCAGUAAGUGCCCCGCCUGGGGGAGUACGGUCGCAAGGCUGAAACUCAAAAGGAAUUGACGGGGGGCCCGCACAAGCGGGUGAA
rnacentral:rRNA from 1 species